rnacentral:sRNA from 1 species
UGGUAGAUGCACCCUGAUUUAGCCCCGGAGGUAAUACCCUCUGGGGUUUUCUACA